rnacentral:rRNA from 1 species
UACGUAGGGUGCAAGCGUUGUCCGGAAUUAUUGGGCGUAAAGAGCUCGUAGGCGGUCUGUUGCGUCGGCUGUGAAAACCCGGGGCUCAACUCCGGGACCUGCAGCCGAUACGGGCAGACUAGAGUUCGGCAGGGGAGGACUGGAAUUCCUGGUGUAGCGGUGAAAUGCGCAGAUAUCCGGAGGAACACCGGUGGCGAAGGCGGGUCUCUGGGCCCGAUACUGACGCUGAGGAGCGAAAGCGUGGGGAGCGAACAGG